rnacentral:rRNA from 1 species
UGUCUCCUCCAUCUAAUCAGUGAAACUGAUCUCCCCGUGAAGAAGCGGGGAUUAUAUAAUAAGACGAGAAGACCCCAUGGAGCUUUAAACCCUAAAGCAACUCUGACACAUAAUUCAUCAUAACCUACAGAAAUAUGCUAGACGGUUUUAGGUUGGGGCGACCGCGGAGUAAAAAUUAACCUCCACAACGAAAAGAACUAAACCUUUAUCUAAGAGCUACCCCUCUAAGAAUUAGUAUACUAACGGACAAUGACCCGAUAAUCGAUCAACGGACCAAGUUACCCUGGGGAUAACAGCGCAAUCUACUUCAAGAGCCCAUAUCGACAAGUAGGCUUACGACCUCGAUGUUGGAUCAGGGUACCCCAGUGGUGCAGCCGCUACUAAUGGUUCGUUUGUUCAACGAUUAAAACCCUACGUGA